UGGGGGAUCGUCUAGCGGUAGGACAGCGGACUCUGGAUCCGUAAGCCGUGGUUCGAAUCCACGUCCCCCAG
rnacentral:tRNA from 1 species